GACGAACGCUGGCGGCGUGCCUAAUACAUGCAAGUCGAGCGAACGGACGAGAAGCUUGCCUCUCUGAUGUUAGCGGCGGACGGGUGAGUAACACGUGGAUAACCUACCUAUAAGACUGGGAUAACUUCGGGAAACCGGAGCUAAUACCGGAUAAUAUUUUGAACCGCAUGGUUCAAAAGUGAAAGACGGUCUUGCUGUCACUUAUAGAUGGAUCCGCGCUGCAUUAGCUAGUUGGUAAGGUAACGGCUUACCAAGGCAACGAUGCAUAGCCGACCUGAGAGGGUGAUCGGCCACACUGGAACUGAGACACGGUCCAGACUCCUACGGGAGGCAGCAGUAGGGAAUCUUCCGCAAUGGGCGAAAGCCUGACGGAGCAACGCCGCGUGAGUGAUGAAGGUCUUCGGAUCGUAAAACUCUGUUAUUAGGGAAGAACAUAUGUGUAAGUAACUGUGCACAUCUUGACGGUACCUAAUCAGAAAGCCACGGCUAACUACGUG
rnacentral:rRNA from 1 species